CUGGUCCUCGGUAGUGGCCCCCGGAGUAGCACAUUCCGUGGGCCUCGAUCGAUGACCG
rnacentral:ncRNA from 1 species